rnacentral:rRNA from 1 species
CCUACGGGUGGCAGCAGUGAGGAAUAUUGGUCAAUGGGCUUACGCCUGAACCAGCCAAGUCGCGUGAGGGAAGACUGCUCUAUGGGUUGUAAACCUCUUUUGCCAGGGAGCAACGCCGGCUACGUGUAGCCGGACUGAGAGUACCUGAAGAAAAAGCAUCGGCAAACUCCGUGCCAGCAGCCGCGGCACUACGAGGGAUGCGAGCGUUAUCCGGAUUUAUUGGGUUUAAAGGGUGCGUAGGCGGAAUGCCAAGUCGGCGGUAAAAUGGCGGGGCUCAACCUUGCUCUGCAGUUGAAACUGGCGUUCUUGAGUGGGGGAGAAGUAUGCGGAAUGCGUGGUGUAGCGGUGAAAUGCGUAGAUAUCACGCAGAACUCCGAUUGCGAAGGCAGAAUACCGGCGCCCAACUGACGCUGAAGCGCGAAAGCGUGGGUAUCGAACAGGAUUAGAUACCCGGGUAGUC